rnacentral:misc_RNA from 1 species
GAUGAAGAACGCAGUGAAAUGCGAUACUUGGUGUGAAUUGCAGAAUCCCGUGAACCAUCGAGUCUUUGAACGCAAGUUGCGCCCGAAGCCAUUAGGCCGAGGGCACGCCUGCCUGGGCGUCACACGUCGUUGCCCCCCCAUCUACUCCUUCGGGAUUGCGGGGGGCGGAUGAUGGCCUCCCGUGCGCCUCGUCGCGCGGUUGGCAUAAAUGCCAAGUCCUCGGCGACGCACGCCACGACAAUCGGUGGUUGCGAAACCUCGGUUGCCCGUCGUGUGCGGUCGUCGCGCAUCGAGGGCUCGAAAAAAUUGCCGGGCUCCGGCUCGGCUUUCAACGCGACCCCAGGUCAGGCGGGGUUACCCGCUGAAUUUAAGCAUAUCAAUAAGCGGAGGA